rnacentral:rRNA from 1 species
UACGUAGGGGGCGAGCGUUGUCCGGAUUUAUUGGGCGUAAAGCGCGUGUAGGCGGCUUGAUAGGUCCGCUGCUAAAUCUCGAGGCUCAACCUCGAGCUGUCGGUGGAAACCAUCUCGCUAGAGUCCGGAAGAGGAGAGUGGAAUUCCCGGUGUAGCGGUGAAAUGCGCAGAUAUCGGGAAGAACACCUAUGGCGAAGGCAGCUCUCUGGGACGGUACUGACGCUGAGACGCGAAAGCGUGGGGAGCGAACAGG